GAGAAUUUCAAUCGCAGACAGUCUAAGUCUGUGAUGUUAGUACCUUCCAGCUUUAAUCUUUUUUAUAAAAUAGAACACUGCUAGAGGGAAGCCAAAGGUACUCAAGGAAUAACAGCUGCUGGGAAGCCAGGCUACUUUCUGGAAGCAUGGAAAACUGACAGAAACAUAAGGAGCAAGACUUUGAAGCUGGCAUUUUAACCCCAGGAUUGUACUUACCUUUUGAAAAGCUGCGUCUGGCAUUCAAGAUUUAUCUCUGUUCCAAGCAGUACAUGUAACAACCUAAAAUAAGGAAUGUUCAUCACAAUACCAUAUUGAAAAUUAUUUAUGGAGUUACAGUCAGAAAAGGUAAGUUUUUCCUCCGCACAGUGUAAAGGACACUCCUAAUGACCUCCAAUACUCAUGUAGUUUAUGUAUUCUGAAGUACAUUUCUACCACUUUUGAAAAAUGCUGUAAGAAAUUCAAAGACCUCAGUACAACGUAGGGUGUGUAUGUUAUCCUGGUGGACAACAAGAUUAUCAUGAAUUAACAGUGCGCCACUGAAGCAACAAAGGCCAAUCAGAUCCUGAAUUACAUCUGUAGGGGCACUGCUAGAAGAUACAGAGAUGUGAUCAUCCUACUCAGUGCUUGUUAGGUCACAGCUGGAGUACUGUGUCCCCACAGUUCAAAAGAGACAUAGAGAGUCUGGAAACAAUCCAAAGGAUGGCCUCAAAGAUGAUCAAAAGCUGAAGAACAUGCCAUGUGAGGAAAGGCUGAAGGAGUUAUGUAUUUCUGCCCUUGAAGAGAAGUCUCAGAGUCUUUUACAUUGUAACAGUAUUCCAGUACUUGAAGGGCAACUGCAAAGAGGAUGGAAGCUCUCUUUUCAAAAGGAGCUGCACAGAGAGGACAAGGGUGAAGAGAACAGAUUGCACUGGGAGAGGUUUCAUCUGGUUAUCAUCAAUCACUGGAACAACCUCCUCAGGGUUGUGCUAGAGAUUUUCAACUCGCCGUGGCACUAGAUAAUCUAACAUAGCCACCCUUUUCUAAAGCAGAUUGG
ensembl:lncRNA